rnacentral:rRNA from 1 species
UACGGGGGGGGCAAGCGUUGUUCGGAAUUACUGGGCGUAAAGGGCGCGUAGGCGGUCCGCUAAGUUGGAUGUGAAAACUCUGGGCUUAACCCAGAGCCUGCAUUCAAAACUGACGGGCUGGAGUUCUGGAGGGGAUAGCGGAAUUCCUGGUGUAGCGGUGAAAUGCGUAGAUAUCAGGAGGAACAUCGAUGGCGAAGGCAAUCACCUGGGCCUGAACUGACACUGAGACACGAAAGCGUGGGUAGCAAACAGG